rnacentral:tRNA from 1 species
AAAUCCGUCGAAUUUUUAAAUCGUGAGGGUUCAAGUCCCUCUAUCCCCAU